CAGCAUCAUAAAUGCGAAUAGAACUGAAACUCAAAGUCUUUCACGUCUGCUUAUGUGGAUCACAAAGCCCAGUAGAAUAUUAGAUCAUUAAUGAAAUCUGUAUUUUAUGGAUUCCAGAAAAGUGUGUUCUUUAAAGUUUGUGAAGAUGUGCACAGAGAUAAUCACACCUAACUUUUGGGAACUGAAGCAAUAGACUGAAAUUACCACAUAAAUAGAAUUUCCACAAUACACUUAUAUGCCAAAACCUUAAAAAGUUAAUUUUAAUUGUACAAGAUGGGAAUAUUUUGAGACGCGAAUGAAAUUUUGGUGCUGUGACUCAUAUCGGGGGACCUCCCUUAGGAGAUCAAUCUCCUGUCCUCCUGCUCUUUGCUCCAUGAGAAAGAUCCACCUACAACCUCAAGUCCUCAGACAGACCAGCCCAAGGAACAUCACACCAAUUUUAAAUCAGAUCUUCUUGGCUCAGCAGCUGAAGACUGACACUGCCCAAUUGCCUUGGAAGCUUCCUGGACCAUCACAGAUGCUUUAGGUAACUCUUACAGUAGAAGACCCAACCAGUGAGAAUCAUCCCAUUUUAAUCAGUUGUUGACUCCUUCAAAAGAUGGUCACUAGUAAAGCAGCAGCAGCACCACUGAAGAGUCUGCUUCCACUAUCACCAAAUUUGCUGU